rfam:Mesocricetus auratus contig008267, whole genome shotgun sequence.
AGAUGUUAGGGCCAUCUGGCUGUGACAUAUGUCACCUCAUUGAUCACCAGGGCUGAUUUGGGUGAUUUGGCUCGCUAGGUGGAGGUCCCCUUCCUCCCUCACUGCUCCAUGUACCUUCCUCCUGAAGCUGAAUACUAGGCCAAAGAGGAGGACCUUCCAAGAAUAGAGGAGGAUCCUUCUUUGGUCAAGGGUAUAUGAGUAGCUGUGUUCCCAUGCUAGAACCUCCAUAAAAGCUCUCAAUUUCAUUGAUCAUCCUAUCUGUUUUUAUGCCAAUAACAUGAGCUUUUUAUUUCUAUUGCUCUGCAGUACUGCUUUAAAUCAGGCAUGGUGAUACCUCCAAAU